UUGUGGAGGAGGACGCCGAAGGUGGGGCUAAUGACUGGGGUGAAGUCGUAACAAGGUAGCCGUACCGGAAGGUGCGGCUGGAUCACCUCCUAACAGGGAGACAACAAAAUGUUUAAUAUUAUUAUUUUGUCACCUUAGGUCGAUCGGUAUCUCACGUUUUUAAUUUAUUAAGAAUUUCAUUUCCUAAGUUUUUCUAGGUCACACCCAUUAUUUUUCCUGGGCCAUUAGCUCAGGUGGUUAGAGCGCACCCCUGAUAAGGGUGAGGUCCCUGGUUCAAGUCCAGGAUGGCCCAUAUCUCUAUGUUGGGGGUAUAGCUCAGUUGGUAGAGCGCCUGCUUUGCAAGCAGGAUGUCAGCGGUUCGAGUCCGCUUACCUCCACUGAUUACCACCUCUUCCAUAACCGGUAGAAAGGAAAUGUAGUGAGUUGUGAUCAAAUUCUGAAAGAAUCUAGCUUCCUAAUGAAAUCAUUAAGAUGCUGGACUCAUUGAAUUAAUUUCAUUGUUUUCAGAGAACCUUGACAACUGCAUAGAUUAUUUUUAAAGACAAUAAGCAUCUUUAAUGAUGCAGAUUUAUUAUUUGUGCGAAUGCAUUAAUAACAAUUCUAUUAAGCUGAUGCUUCAAAUUUGAAGUUAUUGGUCAAGCUACAA
rnacentral:misc_RNA from 1 species